GCAUAUCAAUAAGCGGAGGAAAAGAAACUAACAAGGAUUCCCCUAGUAGCGGCGAGCGAAGAGGGAUGAGCCCAAAUUUGUAAUCUGGCGUCCUCCGGGCGUCCGAGUUGUAAUCUACAGAAGCGUUUUCCGUGCCGGACCGUGUCCAAGUCCCUUGGAAUAGGGUAUCAAAGAGGGUGAGAAUCCCGUGCUUGACACGACGACCGGUGCCAUGUGAUACGCUCUCUACGAGUCGAGUUGUUUGGGAAUGCAGCUCAAAACGGGUGGUAAAUUCCAUCUAAGGCUAAAUAUUGGCGAGAGACCGAUAGCGAACAAGUACCGUGAGGGAAAGAUGAAAAGCACUUUGGAAAGAGAGUUAAACAGUAUGUGAAAUUGUUGAAAGGGAAACGAUUGAAGUCAGUCGUGUCCUCUGGAUUCAGCCGGCUCACGCCGGUGCACUUCCUUUGGACGGGCCAACAUCGGUUCUGGCCGACGGAUAAGGACGAGGGGAAGGUGGCACCUCCGGGUGUGUUAUAGCCCCCCGUCGCAUACGUCGGCC
rnacentral:rRNA from 1 species